UGGGGGAUAUUGCACAAUGGGGGGAACCCUGAUGCAGCGACGCCGCGUGGGCGAGGGAGCGCCUCGGCGCGUAAAGCCCUAUCGGCAGGGAAGAGAGCGGACGGUACCUGACUAAGAAGCCCCGGCUAACCACGUGCCAGCAGCCGCGGUAAUACGUGGGGGGCGAGCGUUAUCCGGAUUCACUGGGCGUAAAGGGGGCGCGGGCGGCGCGCCAAGUCCGGUGUGAAAGCCCAGGGCCCAACCCUGGGACCGCACUGGAGACUGGCGCGCUGGAGUGUCGGAGGGGCAGGCGGAAUUCCUGGUGUAGCGGUGAAAUGCGUAGAUAUCAGGAGGAACACCGGUGGCGAAGGCGGCCUGCUGGACGACGACUGACGCUGAGGCCCGAAAGCGUGGGGAGCGAACAGG
rnacentral:rRNA from 1 species